rnacentral:rRNA from 1 species
GACGAACGCUGGCGGCGUGCCUAAUACAUGCAAGUAGAACGCUGAAGGAGGAGCUUGCUUCUCUGGAUGAGUUGCGAACGGGUGAGUAACGCGUAGGUAACCUGCCUGGUAGCGGGGGAUAACUAUUGGAAACGAUAGCUAAUACCGCAUAAUAGCAGUUGUUGCAUGACAACUGUUUGAAAGGUGCAAUUGCACCACUACCAGAUGGACCUGCGUUGUAUUAGCUAGUUGGUGGGGUAACGGCUCACCAAGGCGACGAUACAUAGCCGACCUGAGAGGGUGAUCGGCCACACUGGGACUGAGACACGGCCCAGACUCCUACGGGAGGCAGCAGUAGGGAAUCUUCGGCAAUGGACGGAAGUCUGACCGAGCAACGCCGCGUGAGUGAAGAAGGUUUUCGGAUCGUAAAGCUCUGUUGUAAGAGAAGAACGAGUGUGAGAGUGGAAAGUUCACACUGUGACGGUAUCUUACCAGAAAGGGGCGGCUAACUACGUU